rnacentral:lncRNA from 1 species
UAAAACUGAAAAUGGAUAUCUAUUAUUCCAUUGAUUCCACAUUAAAUUUAUAAAAGUU